GACGAAGGGGGCUAGCGUUGCUCGGAAUCACUGGGCGUAAAGCGCACGUAGGCGGCUUUCUAAGUCAGGGGUGAAAUCCUGGAGCUCAACUCCAGAACUGCCUUUGAUACUGGAGAGCUUGAGUCCGGGAGAGGUGAGUGGAACUCCGGGUGUAGAGGUGAAAUUCGUAGAUAUUCGGAAGAACACCAGUGGCGAAGGCGGCUCACUGGCCCGGUACUGACGCUGAUGUGCGAAAGCGUGGGGAGCAAACAGG
rnacentral:rRNA from 1 species